AACCAUGACCACUGAUGAAUUUUUUUUCCGAUGUCAUUUGUGUAUCUUUUUGACCAGAAACAUUUUUCUGGAAAAUGAAUUUCAAAGAAGAAGACACGCAAACACACAAAUCAUUUGAAAUUUGCAUGACAAUUACUGAUGUUGAAAGAGAAUACCAUCCUAAUUCAAAUUCCAAUUGUCAUCCAUUCGACAUGGCUAUCCAUUAUUAUUAACGUAAUCCUCAAAUAAUUUUAAUGAUGAUUUCUUAGGAACAAAAAAAGAAAAAAUCUGAUUUCAUUAAUGAUUCAUCAUCAUCAUCAUCAUCAAUCUAUGGAUAAAAUGUUGAAGCCCAAUCGUGAUUGAAACAUUAUGAAUAGAGCAAACAAACAAAAAAAAAAUGAAAAUUUUUUUCGACAAUCAACCAAUAAGCCACCGAAAAAAAUAUGAAAAUUUUCCUUCAUUUUUCCCUUUUAUUAUUCAUGUCAAGGACAUUGGGGUAUAUGAUUUGUCGACGAUUGCAAUUUAUUAUUCUUUUUUAAUCAUCUCAUACACACAAAUAGAUUUCG